rnacentral:rRNA from 1 species
GUAUUAUUAGUUAAUGCAAGAUCGACUAUGUCGACUAAAGUUCUAGGUAGAAUAAUGAUGAUGACAAUUUUUUACCUAUAUGUCUUGACCAAGUCUCGUGCCAGCAGUCGCGUAAUACGUGGAAGACUAGUGUUAUUCAUCUUUAUUAGGUUUAAAGGGUACCUAGACGGUAUUUCUAGCCCAAAGUAGGGUACGGAUUUACUAGAGUUUUAUGUGAGGAGGGGAGUACUCGUGGAGUAGAGAUGAAAUUUUGUUAUACUAUGAGGUAACUGGUGGCGGCGAAAGCAACCUUCUAUGUAUAAACUGACGUUGAGGGACGAAGGCUUGGGUAGCAAAUAGGAUUAGAUACCCUAGUAGUCCAAGCAGACAAUUCUGAAUGCCAUAGAUUUAGAUUAUUUUUUGGUCUAUAAAUGAAAGUGUAAGCAUUCCACCCUUAGGGAGUAAAUGUGGGCAAACACAGGAACUGAAAAUCAUUAGACCGUUUUCUGAAACCAGUAGUGAAAGUAUGUUUAUUUUAAAUUUGAUGGGUCCACAAAAAAACCUUACCACAAACUUGAAUAAUUUUUUUAAUUAAUAACAAGCGUUGCACGGCUUGUUCUUUCAGUUAAUGUCGUGGGGAUUUUGGUUACUCCCAUUAAAUUAACGUAAACCCUUACUUUAUUUA